rnacentral:rRNA from 1 species
UACGAAGGGGGCGAGCGUUGUUCGGAUUUACUGGGCGUAAAGGGCGCGCAGGCGGCUCAUUUUGUCAGGCGUGAAAGCCCCGGGCUUAACCUGGGAACUGCGUUUGAUACGGAUGGGCUAGAGUUCGGGAGAGGAGAGUGGAAUUCCCAGUGUAGAGGUGAAAUUCAUAGAUAUUGGGAAGAACACCGGUGGCGAAGGCGGCUCUCUGGACCGAGACUGACGCUGAGGUGCGAAAGCGUGGGGAGCAAACAGG